GAUGAACGCUGGCGGCGUGCCUAAUACAUGCAAGUCGAGCGAACAGACGAGGAGCUUGCUCCUCUGACGUUAGCGGCGGACGGGUGAGUAACACGUGGAUAACCUACCUAUAAGACUGGGAUAACUUCGGGAAACCGGAGCUAAUACCGGAUAAUAUAUUGAACCGCAUGGUUCAAUAGUGAAAGACGGUUUUGCUGUCACUUAUAGAUGGAUCCGCGCCGCAUUAGCUAGUUGGUAAGGUAACGGCUUACCAAGGCAACGAUGCGUAGCCGACCUGAGAGGGGGAUCGGCCACCCUGGAACGGAGACACGGUCCAGGCUCCUACGGGAGGCAGCAGUAGGGAAUGUGCCGCAAUGGGCGGAAGCCUGACGGAGCAGCCCCGCGUGAGUGAUGAAGGUCCUCGGAUCGUAAAACUCUGUUAUUAGGGAAGAACAAAUGUGUAAGGAACUAUGCACGUCGUGACGGUACCGGGUCAGAAAGCCACGGCUAACUACGUG
rnacentral:rRNA from 1 species